rnacentral:misc_RNA from 1 species
AACGCAACUUGCGCCGAGCAAUCGGCAUGUAUGUUCGAGAACCGCAUAAUCCAAUGCGUUAAGCGACCUGAUCGUGAUACACGCCUGCGUGCGUCUCGAUUGAAGAGUAGUAGGGAGCCGAGCAGAGUGCCGCGCUGUCUUAGUGCCCUGUGGCAUGUCAGUGAUGGGGCUCUUUAGGCUUAGGGGUGGUUGGGGGGGGUGAUGGGAAUGUGUAUUUCAUAUACACACCCCUAACCCAUUCCGCCAUCCCAUCUAUCUAUCCUUGGUCUCGAAUCAUGCAAGACUACCCGCUGAACUUAA